rnacentral:rRNA from 1 species
CCUACGGGAGGCAGCAGUGGGGAAUAUUGGGCAAUGGGCGCAAGCCUGACCCAGCAACGCCGCGUGAAGGAAGAAGGCCUUCGGGUUGUAAACUUCUUUUCUGCGGGACGAAUAAAGUGACGGUACCUCAGGACUAAGCCACGGUGAACUACGUGCCAGCAUCCGCGGUAAUACGUAGGUGGCAAGCGUUAUCCGGAUUUAUUGGGUGUAAAGGGCGUGUAGGCGGGAAAGCAAGUCAGAUGUGAAAUCCCAGGGCUCAAGCCUUAGCCUGCAUUUGAAACUGUUUUUCUUGAAUGCUGGGGAGGCAAUCGGAAUUCCGUGUGGAGCGGUGAAAUGCGUAGAUAUACGGAGGAACACCAGUGGCGAAGGCGGAUUGCUGGACAGUAACUGACGCUGAUGCGCGAAAGCGUGGGGAGCAAACAGGAUUAGAUACCCGAGUAGUC